UGGAGCAUGUGGUUUAAUUCGAAGCAACGCGCAGAACCUUACCAGCCCUUGACAUCCGGUAUCGGUCCUCGAGAGAUUGAGGACUUCCCUUCGGGGAGGCCGAGACAGGUGCUGCAUGGCUGUCGUCAGCUCGUGUCGUGAGAUGUUGGGUUAAGUCCCGCAACGAGCGCAACCCUCAUCGCCAGUUGCCAGCAUUCAGUUGGGCACUCUGGCGAAACCGCCGGCGCCAAGCCGGAGGAAGGCGGGGAUGACGUCAAGUCCUCAUGGCCCUUAUGGGCUGGGCUACACACGUGCUACAAUGGCGGUGACAGUGGGACGCGAAACCGCGAGGUGGAGCAAAUCCCCAAAAGCCGUCUCAGUUCGGAUUGCACUCUGCAACUCGAGUGCAUGAAGUUGGAAUCGCUAGUAAUCGCGGAUCAGCACGCCG
rnacentral:rRNA from 1 species